GGGGGAGGGAGAGUCAGUUUAAUGUAGGCUCUGCUGGGUCAAUCACAUCGUGGUGUAUUGCCUCAUACCCAUGAGUAUAUACCGGCAGCACACGAAUGAGAAUCUGUGGAUUACUUAAAAAAUAAAAAAAGGACAAGGUCUGAUAAAUGCUGUGAAGAAAUGCAACACGAGUAAUGGAGCUGGUGCAGCUCUGAUCAGUGAUUGAGGAGGACCUCUGAAAGAGGCUGCUGUCUAAGCAGAGACCAGAUGAAAUGAGUGGACAAGUCAUGGAGCCGUGUGGUCAAGAGUGCUACAGUCAGAAGAAACAUCGAGUUCAGUGCUCUGAGCAGCUAGUGUGCUUGACCUCACAGAACUUCCUAAAACCCAGGAUGUGAUGGUUUGCAUAUGCUGGGCCCAGGGAGUGGCACUACUAGAAGGUGUGGCCUUGUUGGAGGAAGUGUGUCACUGUGAGAUGGGCUUGGAGACCCUCCUCCUAGCUGCCUGAGGAUGCUUUGUCUGUUCCUGGCUUUCUUCCGGUGAAGAUGUAGAACUCAGCUCCUCCUGCACCAUGCCUGCCUGGACGCUGCCGUACUCCUGCCUUGAUAAUAAUGGACUGAACCUCUGAAUCUGUAAGCCAGCCCCAAUUAAAUGUUGUCCUUUAUAAAA